UACGUAGGGGGCUAGCGUUGUCCGGAAUCAUUGGGCGUAAAGAGCGUGUAGGCGGUCCGGUAAGUCCGCUGUGAAAGUCGGGGGCUCAACCCUCGAAUGCCGGUGGAUACUGUCGGGCUAGAGUGCGGAAGAGGCAAGUGGAAUUCCCGGUGUAGCGGUGAAAUGCGCAGAUAUCGGGAGGAACACCAAUGGCGAAGGCAGCUUGCUGGGACGGUACUGACGCUGAGGCGCGAAAGCGUGGGGAGCAAACAGG
rnacentral:rRNA from 1 species